CUGUUGAACCGAGGCUUGUUUUUAUAGCAAUUAGGUUCCAUUAAAAAUGUUAUUUUGAAGAUGGCUGUCUUAACUGGAUCUAUCCCAAGGCACGCAUUUACUGAUGUACACAGCAGUGCUGUGAAAGGGACCGAGCAUGCUGCUGCUGCUCAGAUCUGCUGGGAUUCAAACAGGAGCACAGACUGCUGCCUUGGACACUCAGAGAUGAUUUCCCUAUGCAGUGUAAACAAGGAAACAACAGUGUGUAGCAAAAAUCAAGUAUUUUCAGAACCAUCA
rnacentral:lncRNA from 1 species